rnacentral:rRNA from 1 species
CACGCAGGCGGCUCCGUGAGUCGGACGUGAAAGCUCUCGGCUUAACCGGGAGAGGCCGUUCGAUACUGCGGGGCUUGAGGUAGGGAGAGGAAUGCGGAAUUCCCGGUGUAGUGGUGGAAUGCGUAGAUAUCGGGAGGAACACCUGUGGCGAAAGCGGCAUUCUGGCCCUCACCUGACGCUGAGGUGCGAAAGCGUGGGUAGCAAACA